UUUUUUUUUUUUACAGAAAUACUAUUAUUACUUUCUUUCUUAUUAGUUUUCUUUAUUUUUUUCCAGUUUCUGCCUAUUUCAGGGUGUUCUGUUUAAGUUUUCUUUAGUUUUUUCCAGUUUUCUGCCUGUUUUAAGGGUUUUUUUGUUUUUUCAGAAAUACUAUUCCUGUCCUUUUUUAUUCUUCUGCCUGUUUCAAGGUUUUGUUAUUAGUUUUUGUCUUUAAUUCUUUUGUUUUUUUAGUUUUUUUGUUUUUGUUUUUUGUUUUCUUUAAUUUUUUUUUUCUAUUUUUUGCCUGGCACCUCUGUCAAGAUGAGCUACUCUUAGUCCGGUCCCUCCCCCAGGACCUGUUUGCCUUGGGUGACCCUUCAGAGGCAUAAAGCCCCGACAACAUAGCUCCUGUGAUCAUUGGGACACACAAACCCCUCCACCACGGUAAGGUGGUAGCUCGAGGAGGGGAAAAAACCCUCACGUGGGAGGGAAAAACCGCAAGGGUUUUUUUUUUUCUGUGCUAAACACCCAGUUUAGGGUGGGUUUUUCAUAUUUUUUUUCAGAAAUAGUAUUCUUUUUCUUUUUUUUUAGUUUCAUUUAGUUCUUUUUAAUUUUCUGCCAAUUUGAAGGCAGAUUAGGCAGACUAUUAAGGGUGGGUUUUUUGGUUUUUUUCUGCCUGUUUUAAGUUUUUUUUUCCAGAAAUACUAUUUUGUUCUUUUUUUAAUUUUCUUUAUUUUUUAUUUUCUGCCUAUUUUAAGGUUUUUUGUUAGUUUUUUUUCAGUUUUCCGCCUGCUUUAAGAGUGUUUUGAGUUUUAAAUUGAAUAUACAUUUUAAGAAAAUAUUUUUUUAUUUGUGCAAAAUACCUGGUUAAGGGUGUUUUUUUUUUUAAGAAAAACUUUUUUUUAGUUUUCUAUAUAUUUUUUCCAGUUUUCUGCAUCUUUGAAGGAUUUUUUUUUAGUUUUUUUUUCUUAGUUUUGUAUUGUCAGUUUUCUGCCAUUUUUUAGGGUGUUUUGUUUUCUUUUUUUCAUGUAUAUGAUUUUUUUUUAAUUUUCUGCCUUUUUAGGGGUUUUCUUUUUUUUAUUUUUUAUUUUAAAUUUUUUUCCAGAAAUACUAUUCUUUUUUCCUUUUUUAGUGUUUUUUUUUAGUUUUUUUUUAUAUUUCUGCCUGUUUUAAGGUUGGUUUUUAGUUUUUUUUUUAGUUGUUUUUUUAUUUUUGCAAAAUACACAGUUUAGGUUUUUUUUUUCAGAAAUACUAUUCUUUUUCUUUUUUUAGUUUCCUUAUGUUCUUUGUAUUUUUCUGCCUGUUUGAAUUUAUUUUUUAUUAUUUUAAGUUUUUUUUUACAGAAAUACUAUUAUUUUUUCUUUUUUUAGUUUUCUGCCUGCUUUAAGGGUGUUUUUUUUCUAUUUUAAAUUUUUUGCUUUUUUUUUAGAUAUAUGAAUUUUUUUUUAUCAGUUUUCUGCCUGUUUUUAGGGAUAUAUAUAUAUAUAUAUUUGUAUUUAGGUUGAGGGUGUCUUUUUUUCAGAAAUACUAAUCUUUUUUCUUUAGUUUUUUUUUUUCUGCCUGUUUAAAGGUUUUGUUUUUAGGUUUUUUAUUUUUAAGUUUUUUUUCAGAAAUACUAUAUUUUUUCUUUUUUUUAGUUUCCUUUAAUUCUUUUUUAUACGUCUGCCUGUUUUAAUUCUUUUUAUAUUUUUUUAAGGUUUUUUUUUAACAGAAAUACUAUUACUUCUUUCUUUCUUAUUAGUUUUCUUUAUUUUUUUCCCGUUCUGCCUAUUUCAGGGUGUUCUGUUUAAGUUUUCUUUAGUUUUUUCCAGUUUUCUGCCUGUUUUAAGGGUGUUUUUUUUUUCUUUCUUUUUUUUUUUAGAUAUAUGAUUUUUUUAUCAGUUUUCUGCCUGUUUUAAGGGAUUUAUAUAUAUUUAUGUAUUUAGGUUGAGGGUGUUUUUUUUUCAGAAAUACUAAUCUUUUUUUCUUUAGUUUUCUUUAGUUUUUUAUUUUUCUGCCUGUUUUAAGGUUUUGUUUUUAGUUUUUUUUAUUUUUAAUUUUUUUUUUCAGAAAUACUAUUCUUUUUCUUUUUUUAGUUUCCUUUAAUUCUUUUUUAUAUGUCUGCCUGUUUUAAUUCUUUUUAUAUUUUUUUAAGGGUUUUUUUUUUACAGAAAUACUAUUAUUUCUUUCUUUCUUAUUAGUUUUCUUUAUUUUUUCCAGUUUCUGCCUAUUUCAGGGUGUUCUGUUUAAGUUUUCUUUAGUUUUUUCCAGUUUUCUGCCUGUUUUAAGGGUUUUUUUUUUUUUUCAGAAAUACUAUUCCUGUCCUUUCUUAUUUUUUCUGCCUGUUUUAAGGUUUCUUUUUUAGUUUUUUUU
rnacentral:lncRNA from 1 species